AGUUAGGUCUGUAUUGCUACCCAUGUCAAACACAUGUUUUAUGGUAGAUGAUAUAUCAGAAACUGAUUUUGGAUACAGAACUGCCGACGUGAUGAUUGAAUCACUGAAAAAUUUGAAGGGAUAGAAGAAGAAGAAGAUAUUGGGGUGGCAAAAGUUUGGUCACAACAGAGUGCAUCCUAAUUUGAAAGUCAUAAUGGCUGCACCAAGAUUUGCUGUAGUAGGAAGGCGAGCCUUGCGUAACUGGUAAAACUGCUGUCAUGCGAUCAGGAGGUCAUAGGUUGAGGUCAUAGGUUCGAGCCGUGAAAAAUGUCUCUGACAGAAAUAUAGGGUAAAGCUGCGUACAAUCAGGGGCGUAUCUAGGCUUAGGCAUAUGGGUUCACGUGAACCCAUACUGCUCUCCGUAAACUAUGUAUAAUAAUGUUAUAUUUCUUCAAAAUUACUUAAAUAUAUGUGCGUGCACCCAUGCUCAAAGUUUCCUAUGAUGCAAUAAUUAUUGGAUGCACCUCUACAAGUAAAAUUGUGUUCCAAAUCCUACUCUGAAUGGUUUUAUUUUCGAUACAGAGUAUAAAUAUAUAUAAGUAAAAAUU